UACCGCGUAGCUCAGUUGGCAGAGCAUUGGGCUAGUAUUCCAAAGGUCGUAGGUUCGAUUCCCACCGUGGCCA